GAUGAAGAACGCAGCGAAAUGCGAUACGUAAUGUGAAUUGCAGAAUUCAGUGAAUCAUCGAAUCUUUGAACGCACAUUGCGCCCGCUAGUAUUCUGGCGGGCAUGCCUGUUCGAGCGUCAUUUCAACCAUCAAGCUCCUUAGCUUGUGUUGGGGACCUGCGGCUGCCGCAGCCCCCGAAAUGCAGUGGCGGGCUCGUUGUCACACCGAGUGCAGUAAUCAUUCUUCUCUCCGGGCGUGGCGGCGGGUUCCGGCCGUAAAAUCACCAAUUUAUCAAGGUUGACCUCGGAUCAGGUAGGAAUACCCGCUGAACUUAAGCAUAUCAAUAAGCGGAGGA
rnacentral:misc_RNA from 1 species